rnacentral:rRNA from 1 species
CAGUAGCCGCGGGAAAACGAAGGGGGCUAGCGUUGUUCGGAAUUACUGGGCGUAAAGCGAACGUAGGCGGACAUUUAAGUCAGGGGUGAAAUCCCGGGGCUCAACCCCGGAACUGCCUUUGAUACUGGGUGUCUAGAGUAUGGAAGAGGUGAGUGGAAUUCCGAGUGUAGAGGUGAAAUUCGUAGAUAUUCGGAGGAACACCAGUGGCGAAGGCGGCUCACUGGUCCAUUACUGACGCUGAGGUGCGAAAGCGUGGGGAGCAAACAGGAUUAGAUACCCCCGUAGUCCCUGUCUCUUAUAC